UACGUAGGGUGCAAGCGUUUAAUCGGAAUUACUGGGCGUAAAGCGUGCGCAGGCGGUUUUGUAAGUCUGUCGUGAAAGCCCCGGGCUCAACCUGGGAAUUGCGAUGGAGACUGCAAGGCUUGAAUCUGGCAGAGGGGGGUAGAAUUCCACGUGUAGCAGUGAAAUGCGUAGAGAUGUGGAGGAACACCGAUGGCGAAGGCAGCCCCCUGGGUCAAGAUUGACGCUCAUGCACGAAAGCGUGGGGGAGCAAACAGG
rnacentral:rRNA from 1 species